UACGUAGGUGGCGAGCGUUGUCCGGAUUUACUGGGCGUAAAGGGAGCGUAGGCGGACUUUUAAGUGAGAUGUGAAAUACCCGGGCUCAACUUGGGCGCUGCAUUUCAAACUGGAAGUCUAGAGUGCAGGAGAGGAGAAUGGAAUUCCUAGUGUAGCAGUGAAAUGCGUAGAGAUUAGGAAGAACACCAGUGGCGAAGGCGAUUCUCUGGACUGUAACUGACGCUGAGGCUCGAAAGCGUGGGGAGCAAACAGGAUUAGAUA
rnacentral:rRNA from 1 species